rnacentral:tRNA from 1 species
GCCUUCGUGGCUCAGCUGGUUAGAGCGCCGGUCUCAUAUUUCCACGCCGAAGUGACAACAUGAUCGCCGUGUGGGCGAGUCAUCCGGAGAUCGCCAGUUCGAUCCUGGCCGAGGGCA